rnacentral:rRNA from 1 species
AGCAGUAGGGAAUCUUCCACAAUGAGCGAAAGCUUGAUGGAGCGACACAGCGUGCAGGAUGAAGGUUUUCGAAUUGUAAACUGCUGUUAUAGGGGAAGAAAAACUUGGAUAGGAAAUGAUCCAAACUUGACGGUACCUUAUUAGAAAGUGACGGCUAACUAUGUGCCAGCAGCCGCGGUAAUACAUAGGUCACAAGCGUUAUCCGGAAUUAUUGGGCGUAAAGCGUUCGUAGGCGGUUUGUUAAGUCUGGAGUUACAGACUGGGGCUCAACCCCAGCCCGCUCUGGAUACUGGCUGACUAGAGUUACAUAGAGGUAAGUGGAAUUCUUAGUGGAGCGGUGGAAUGCGUANAUAUUAGGAAGAACACCAAUGGCGAAGGCAGCUUACUGGAUGUACACUGACGCUCAGGGACGAAAGCGUGGGGAGCAAACAGGAUUAGAUACCCUGGUAGUCCACGCCGUAAACGAUGAUCAUUAGCCGCUAGAAUAUUUAGUGGCGCAGCUAACGCAUUAAAUGAUCCGCCUGAGUAGUAUGCUCGCAAGAGUGAAACUUAAAGGAAUUGACGGGGACCCGCACAAGCGGUGGAGCAUGUGGUUUAAUUUGAAGAUACGCGUAGAACCUUACCCACUCUUGACGUCUUCCGCAAUACUAUGGAGACAUAGUGGAGGUUAACGGAAUGACAGAUGGUGCAUGGUUGUCGUCAGCUCGUGCCGUGAGGUGUUAGGUUAAGUCCUGCAACGAGCGCAACCCCUGUCUUUAGUUACUAACGGAUAAUGCCGAGGACUCUAGAGAGACUGACUGGGUAACCAGUAGGAAGGUGGGGACGACGUCAAAUCAUCAUGCCUCUUACGAGUGGGGCAACACACGUGCUACAAUGGACGGUACAAAGAGAAGCAAUAUGGUGACAUGGAGCAAACCUCAAAAACCGUUCUCAGUUCGGAUUGAAGUCUGAAACUCGACUUCAUGAAGUUGGAAUCGCUAGUAAUCGUAGAUCAGCUACGCUACGGUGAAUACGUUCUCGGGUCUUGUACACACCGCCCGU